UACGGAGGGUGCAAGCGUUAUCCGGAUUCACUGGGUUUAAAGAGUGCGUAGGUGGGUUGGUAAGUCAGUGGUGAAAUCUCCGUGCUUAACAUGGAAACUGCCAUUGAUACUACUGAUCUUGAAUUUUCUGGAGGUAAGCGGAAUAUGUCAUGUAGCGGUGAAAUGCUUAGAUAUGACAUAGAACACCAAUUGCGAAGGCAGCUUACUACAGGGAUAUUGACGCUGAGGCACGAAAGCGUGGGGAUCAAACAGG
rnacentral:rRNA from 1 species